AGAGUUUGAUCCUGGCUCAGGACGAACGUUGGCGGUGCGCUUAAUGCAUGCAAGUCGAGGGAGAACCAGUCGUUCCGUAAGGAUCGGUUGGGGAAACCGGCGAACGGGUGCGUAACACGUGAGGAACCUGCCCCGAAGACCGGGAUAGCCCGAGGAAACUCGGAUUAAUACCGGAUACCCUCUUCGGACCGCAUGGUCUGUUGAGGAAAUGGUCCGCUGCUUCGGGAUGGCCUCGCGGCCUAUCAGCUUGUUGGUGAGGUAAUGGCUCACCAAGGCAAAGACGGGUAGCUGGUCUGAGAGGACGAUCAGCCACACUGGGACUGAGACACGGCCCAGACUCCUACGGGAGGCAGCAGCAGGGAAUAUUGCACAAUGGGCGAAAGCCUGAUGCAGCGACACCGCGUGCGGGAUGAAGGCCUUCGGGUUGUAAACCGCUUCCAGGAGGGACGAAAAUGACGGUACCUCCAGAAGAAGGCCCGGCCAACUACGUGCCAGCAGCCGCGGUAAUACGUAGGGGCCAAACGUUGUCCGGAUUUAUUGGGCGUAAAGGGCUCGUAGGCGGUUCAACAGUCGGUCGUGAAAGCCCGGGGCUCACCCCGGGACGCCGGUCGAACUGUUGUGACUAGGGUCCGGUAGAGGUGAGUGGGAUUCUCGNUGUAGCGNUGGAUGCGCANUUUCGAGAGGAACACAGUAGCGAAGCGGC
rnacentral:rRNA from 1 species